rnacentral:rRNA from 1 species
AGAGUUUGAUCCUGGCUCAGGAUGAACGCUGGCGGCGUGCCUAACACAUGCAAGUCGAGCGAUUCUCUUCGGAGAAGAGCGGCGGACGGGUGAGUAACGCGUGGGUAACCUGCCCUGUACACACGGAUAACAUACCGAAAGGUAUGCUAAUACGAGAUAAUAUGCUUUUAUCGCAUGGUAGAAGUAUCAAAGCUUUUGCGGUACAGGAUGGACCCGCGUCUGAUUAGCUAGUUGGUAAGGUAACGGCUUACCAAGGCGACGAUCAGUAGCCGACCUGAGAGGGUGAUCGGCCACAUUGGAACUGAGACACGGUCCAAACUCCUACGGGAGGCAGCAGUGGGGAAUAUUGGUCAAUGGGCGAGAGCCUGAACCAGCCAAGUAGCGUGAAGGAUGACUGCCCUAUGGGUUGUAAACUUCUUUUAUAAAGGAAUAAAGUCGGGUAUGCAUACCCGUUUGCAUGUACUUUAUGAAUAAGGAUCGGCUAACUCCGUGCCAGCAGCCGCGGUAAUACGGAGGAUCCGAGCGUUAUCCGGAUUUAUUGGGUUUAAAGGGAGCGUAGAUGGAUGUUUAAGUCAGUUGUGAAAGUUUGCGGCUCAACCGUAAAAUUGCAGUUGAUACUGGAUAUCUUGAGUGCAGUUGAGGCAGGCGGAAUUCGUGGUGUAGCGGUGAAAUGCUUAGAUAUCACGAAGAACUCCGAUUGCGAAGGCAGCCUGCUAAGCUGCAACUGACAUUGAGGCUCGAAAGUGUGGGUAUCAAACAGGAUUAGAUACCCUGGUAGUCCACACGGUAAACGAUGAAUACUCGCUGUUUGCGAUAUACAGCAAGCGGCCAAGCGAAAGCGUUAAGUAUUCCACCUGGGGAGUACGCCGGCAACGGUGAAACUCAAAGGAAUUGACGGGGGCCCGCACAAGCGGAGGAACAUGUGGUUUAAUUCGAUGAUACGCGAGGAACCUUACCCGGGCUUAAAUUGCAGAUGAAUUACGGUGAAAGCCGUAAGCCGCAAGGCAUCUGUGAAGGUGCUGCAUGGUUGUCGUCAGCUCGUGCCGUGAGGUGUCGGCUUAAGUGCCAUAACGAGCGCAACCCUUGUUGUCAGUUACUAACAGGUUCUGCUGAGGACUCUGACAAGACUGCCAUCGUAAGAUGUGAGGAAGGUGGGGAUGACGUCAAAUCAGCACGGCCCUUACGUCCGGGGCUACACACGUGUUACAAUGGGGGGUACAGAGGGCCGCUACCACGCGAGUGGAUGCCAAUCCCAAAAACCUCUCUCAGUUCGGACUGGAGUCUGCAACCCGACUCCACGAAGCUGGAUUCGCUAGUAAUCGCGCAUCAGCCACGGCGCGGUGAAUACGUUCCCGGGCCUUGUACACACCGCCCGUCAAGCCAUGGGAGCCGGGGGUACCUGAAGUGCGUAACCGCGAGGAGCGCCCUAGGGUAAAACUGGUGACUGGGGCUAAGUCGUAACAAGGUAGCCGUACCGGAAGGUGCGGCUG